GACACUGAAAACAAACCAUCAGACAGAUAGUCACUGUAGGUUGCUCUGUUCUUACUGACUUCACCACUUCUUGUCUUCAAAGAUGAAGAUGUUCAGCGUUGCAGUGGCCGUCAUGAUCGUCCUCAUUUGCUCUGAGAGGAGUCCUGCUGUCCCUGUGGCUGAGGUGCCAGAUCUGGAGCAAUGGCCAGCGGCUGCCAGCGAUGAUCUGAUUGCUGUAAAUCAAGAGAUGCCAGUUGAACCAGGGCAGAUGCCAGUUUUAGACAGGAUGAAGCGUGGCUGCAGCCUUUGCUGUGUUCAAACUUCUCGAGGCAGAGCUUGCAUAAGAUGCUGUGAUGGUAUAGACCGUCGGCCCCAUGAACCUAUCACUGUCUGAUAGAUGGAGCAUGUCUCUCUGGAUGGACGUGAAUUCCUUUAUGCUGAUGUUUGAACAUCAGAAGUCUGACAGUCCACUGAGAUGCUACAAAUUCCAGAGUUGCAACCACAUGUAUGAUGUGCUGUGACUGAUGGCAUAAACAUAAAGUUUUCUGACAUGA